rnacentral:lncRNA from 1 species
AGCAGCCAGAGGGUUUUGCUUGGAUCUCUAGGGCGGCCACGUGGCCAUAUAUUCAACACUCAGGAGAAGCCUGUGUCUGGAGCCAGGUAGAAAGUGACUGAGGGCAGCAAACAUGGUCUGAAUGGUCUCUGCUCAGGAGAGGCCCCUCUCUGUAAACAGUACAAGUUUCUGGGAAACAUACAGAAGGCCAGACUGUCGGGAAAGG